GGAAGCAUAUUCUGAGAGGGAUUGAGAUUGUAAUACAUGCAUGUUUAUAGGUGCAUGGUGUGUGUGGGUGUGCGCAUGCGUACACGUGUGUUCGGGCGCACACACACACACACAGCAUCAAAUAAUACCCUCUGAAUCUACCAUAGGCUAGAAACCCAAGUGGGACUGAAGUAUUGGGGUGGAGUAUCCUAUAAAUUGUGCCCAGUCAGUCAGUGUAGAGGCUAGAACUAGACAUUGGUUACCCUGGGAAGGAAAUCGGGUUAACAGGCUCAAUAAGACUUAGGGCAAUGCCACAUGAGGAAAGUACCAGAUAAGAGAUUUGCCUCUCUAGAUAAAUCCUCCCCAGUUCUCUACUCUGCUCUCUGCACUGAGAGACGACCACAGCCACAGGGGUUCCAUGUCCUCUGGCUUCUGAUUGGAUUCAGCCAAUGAGAACCUCAGCAAUUAGAGGGAGGGAGGAGAGGGAUGUCAGGUGUUUAUUCCCCUGGUUCUGUCUUGUGCCAUGGCCUUAGUCUGGCACUUUCCUACCUUUCAAUGCAACUCUGCAUAGCCCUCUCUUUCCUGGUUCUGGGGACCUCUUUCUCCCCGUGUACUGUCAGACUUAGGGGUAGUAGCAGCUCUGUUCUGCCUACUCUGGGUUUCUAAACUGUCCUUUGUGGUUGUCCCAUACUCCAACCUUAUCUUUGUUAUUAGCCCCUUUAUAAAUAAAACCUCCUUGAAUUAUCCGCAUGUGACAGUGCUCUUUGACUCCUGUUGGGACCCUGACUGAUACAGAUAGAAAAUUGUAUUUCAGUAAGAUCUCCAUUUUGUUUGAAAAAAUAAGGGCUGUCAGGAGCUCAGCUGAGCUGGAAGAGUAAGCUGAGCAGUCAGGUGUCAGAAUAGCUGAUCGAAGCAACAAUGAGUCAAAACUAAAGUCAUGGCGAAUCCUUUAAUCACUUGCUGUGAUAGUAUAAUGAGCAUGAGGCUAAACUCAAGAAGGCACCUCCCGUUUCAUUUUCCCUGUGAAGCGACACCUCGAUGGAGGGCCAAGUGGAUCAGUGCAGAUGUGGGGUGAUCUCAGAAUUGAGGGAGUUCUGAAUAAGAGGCAGCUUUAUGGAUGCUGGAGUAGGGAUAGGGAGAGGAUGGAGAGUGAAAAAGUGCUGGGUACUGAGUCACAGUGGGGAGAAGUGUCUAGGUCCUCCCACCUCCCACCACACGGAGGUCUCAGCAGAGGCUCCUGGAAGACCUCUGCCCAAGGCCUCAGAUAAAGAGACCUGGGAAUGAAGAAGACACGGGGGCUGGAGGUGUAAAUAUGCCAAGGGCAUGACUGGCUGGGGACCUGAGACUGGGCUGUGACUCUCUCCAAGUCUGCAAUGCCCAGCCAGGGCGGGGAGGGCAGCUUUCCCAGUGUAGCUGCCAGGGAAGCCUUACCUAGGGUCAGGCUGAAAAAUCACACCUGGAUGUGUAAUUGAAGACUCCAGGAGCUGGAGUCUUCAAUCACACACACAACACACACAACACACAACACACACACACACACACACACACACACACACCCCAAAAUGUUAGCAGCAUUUUCUCUAGACCUAGCUGUCCAACAGAAAUGUAAAGUCACAUGUGUGUCAAUUUAAGAUUUUCAGUAGCUGCAUUACAAAAACAGGUGAAAUGAAUUUUAAUAGUAUAUUUUAUUUAAUCUGUGUCCAAAAUGUUAUCAUUUCAAGCACAUUAGUAUAUUUAAAGUUAUUAAUGAUAGAUUUUAUACUCCUUUUCUUGGUACUAAAUCUUCAAAUCUUGUACUAAAUCUUGGCACUAAAUCUAAGCAGGGUGUCUUUCUAUACCUACAGCACAUCUCAAUUCAGAUUUUCACAUUUCAGGUGCUUGCGGUGACACGUGGCCGGUUCAUAGGCAUGAGGUGACGGAAUUGUGGAUUCUUAAAAAGUAUUUUUCAAAUUUUCUACCACAAACAUGUUUUAAAUUUUAUUUUAUAGAUCUCUAAUCUGUAAGUGUUAUCACAUCUGGUUUUCUAUUUUAUUUUAGUAAACAUUUCCUCUUAAAAUGGAUCAUUCCUGCCCAGGGGGCCAUUGCCUAUGAUGUAGCAGCCAAUUAAAAAGGAACAGAUCGUCCUAUUUCUGGGCAGCAAUAAGAUGAACAGCAAUCAACUGCCAAGAGAUACCUAUGAAUAAGCAAUUAAAAGGUGUUUUCUGGAGUUCCCGUCAUGGCGCAGUGGUUAACGAAUCCAACUAGGAACCAUGAGGUUGCGGGUUCGAUCCCUGCCCUUGCUCAGUGGGUUAACGAUCCGGCGUUGCCGUGAGCUGUGGUGUAGGUUGCAGACGCGGCUCGGAUCCUGCGUUGCUGUGGCUGUGGCGUAGGCCGGUGGCUACAGCUGCUAUUAGACCCCUAGCCUGGGAACCUCCAUAUGCUGCGGGAGCGGCCCAAGAAAUGGCAAAAAAAAAAAUUAAAAAAAAAAAA
ensembl:lncRNA